UUGAAAACAAAGUCCACUCACAGAUAGUCCCAAGCUGCACCCCGAGAGGGUCCUGCCUGCUGAGUACGUGCGGUCGGAGCACCUAUUUCGAGAUACGAACCCUUAAUUAAUAUAAAACACUUCGAAACGGAAAUCACAAAAUUAAAUAUUUAAAUCCCCAAGUUCCCAAUGCGUGUACGUUGAAUGAGGUAUUCUAAGGUCCAUCUACACGUUAGGAAAUGUCUUGAAAGUUUGAUCUGGAAAAGACGGUUAUCGGAAAUCACAACUCUGAAUUGUUGAAUCGGAAUAUGCGGGGCUCCCAUUCACGAUCCACGAACUCCUACACGUUUCUAAGAGUGCCUAGAUUAACAUAUUUUAAUUGGGAAACGAUCCAACGGUUAGAACCUAUCGAACCCGGAUAACGCACAAUAUGCGAAAUUCGUUCGAUAGUCAAACGACGUCCGAAUUGAGAUCUGCAAAAUCCUACGCACUUGUGACAACCUGAGGAUCUCAUCAGGAUAAAAUGUAGCUUCACUACCCUUGCCCACGCGCCGCCACACUUGCCGGCAGCGCGUGGGUGUAUAGAGUAAAUUCCAGUGACGGAAAAACUCCACACCACCGCUCACCCUUCCUAUCCUAGAUACUACUCGAAGCAAGGAUCAUUUCAUUCAACUAUGGGAAGGUCUAAUUCAGACGGUAACUGGCAGGAAUUUCACUUUGAAAUUCGGCCAAAACCUAGGUUUCGAAAUCGGUUUCCCAAACUAAAAAUUGAUUCAAUCCUAACCCAUAGACAGCUAGAACAGAUAAAAAGAGAGAGAAACCCCACCUUUUUCACCUGAAAUGGAUGGCGGAGACGGCGGCACAACAACGGGAAAAGUACGGGUUGAACCAGUCGAUACUGCCGAUGAUUCUCGAGUUUUCCGGCGGGGAAACUGGGUGGUUUGGGUUCGGGACUUCGAGCUGGAGCUAAUGGGACCGGUGCCGUCGAUCGAGGUGGCCGGAAAUGGUGGCGGGGUGGUG
rnacentral:lncRNA from 1 species